rnacentral:rRNA from 1 species
CCUUAACCUACUAAAUAGUGCUGCUAGCUUUUGCUGGUAUAGUCACUUCUUAGAGGGACUAUCGAUUUCAAGUCGAUGGAAGUUUGAGGCAAUAACAGGUCUGUGAUGCCCUUAGACGUUCUGGGCCGCACGCGCGCUACACUGACGGAGCCAGCGAGUUCUAACCUUGGCCGAGAGGUCUGGGUAAUCUUGUGAAACUCCGUCGUGCUGGGGAUAGAGCAUUGUAAUUAUUGCUCUUCAACGAGGAAUUCCUAGUAAGCGCAAGUCAUCAGCUUGCGUUGAUUACGUCCCUGCCCUUUGUACACACCGCCCGUCACUACUACCGAUUGAAUGGCUUAGUGAGGCUUCCGGAUUGGUUUAAAGAAGGGGGCAACCUCAUCUUGGAACUGAAAAGCUAGUCAAACUUGGUCAUUUAGAGGAAGUACAAGUCG